rnacentral:lncRNA from 1 species
AUUUUUUAAUAUAAAAAGGGGAAAAAAAUGCUGAUGCCCUAAUCAUCCUUUUCGUCCUCUUUCUUUUCUCUUCUCUUUAUUUUCUACUUUCACAGCCGCCUCUCUUCACCUUUUUCUUUUCUCUUCAUCAAAUCAUCAUUUUCGUUCCCAUUCACUUCUUCUCUUCCUCAAAUCAUCCUUUUUCUCUUCAAUUCUUCUCUUCAUCAAAUCAUCGUCGUCACUCCUCAUCGCUUCGCUUCGUUGUGUUCGCAUUCAUCAUCAUCACCAGCCUUCAUUUGGCCGUUGUUUCUCCAUUGCGAUCUCUGUUUUGGCUGCCGUUCAUCCGUCUUUUGCGAAUUGCGCUGGCGGCUGUGACGUGUUCACCAUCAUUAUAUCAUCAGCCACUGAUGUUCAUUACUUCGCCAGACACCGAUUGUUGAAGUUUGUGAAUCAAAUCUGUGAAUCACGAUUUUGAGUUGUAGACAUGGAUUUGUAUUUUGUGAGUGUAUGUCAUGGAUCUGUAUUUGUAAAUGGUUUAUUGUUUUGAAAUUAAAAAUCUGUAAAAUUAAAAUGGUUUAUUACUUUGUAUUUGAUUUAUGUUGAAUCUGGUUUUGCAAAUUUGUAAAGU